rnacentral:rRNA from 1 species
GACGAACGCUGGCGGCGUGCUUAACACAUGCAAGUCGAACGGAAAGGCCCUGCUUUUGUGGGGUGCUCGAGUGGCGAACGGGUGAGUAACACGUGAGUAACCUGCCCUUGACUUUGGGAUAACUUCAGGAAACUGGGGCUAAUACCGGAUAGGAGCUCCUGCUGCAUGGGGGGGGUUGGAAAGUUUCGGCGGUUGGGGAUGGACUCGCGGCUUAUCAGCUUGUUGGUGGGGUAGUGGCUUACCAAGGCUUUGACGGGUAGCCGGCCUGAGAGGGUGACCGGCGACAUUGGGACUGAGAUACGGCCCAGACUCCUACGGGAGGCAGCAGUGGGGAAUAUUGCACAAUGGGCGGAAGCCUGAUGCAGCAACGCCGCGUGCGGGAUGACGGCCUUCGGGUUGUAAACCGCUUUCGCCUGUGACGAAGCGUGAGUGACGGUAAUGGGUAAAGAAGCACCGGCUAACUACGUG